CGGGAAUGGUCUCCGUGCUCGGAUACAAGUUCCUGUCUCCACUGCUUGCUACCAAGCUGAGGAUCCAAGAUACCUGUGGCGUCCAUUAUCUGCACGGCUUACCUGGUGUGAUGGGCGGCCUGGCCAGUAUCGUGGCGAUAGCCAUGAACGUGCCCAGCAAGUCUUCCAUGGCCUUGCAGGCAGCAGCCCUGGGUUC